rnacentral:rRNA from 1 species
UACGUAGGGUGCAAGCGUUGUCCGGAAUUAUUGGGCGUAAAGAGCUCGUAGGCGGUCUGUCGCGUCGGCUGUGAAAACUCGGGGCUUAACCCCGGGUCUGCAUUCGAUACGGGCAGGCUAGAGUGUGGUAGGGGAGAUCGGAAUUCCUGGUGUAGCGGUGAAAUGCGCAGAUAUCGGGAGGAACACCAGUGGCGAAGGCGGUUGCCUGGAGCUUUGCUGACGCUGAGGCGCGAAAGCGUGGGGAGCGAUCCGG